rnacentral:rRNA from 1 species
CCUACGGGAGGCUGCAGUGAGGAAUAUUGGUCAAUGGGCGCGAGCCUGAACCAGCCAAGUAGCGUGAAGGAUGACUGCCCUACGGGUUGUAAACUUCUUUUAUAAAGGAAUAAAGUGAGUCUCGUGUGCCUUUUUGUAUGUACUUUAUGUAUAAGGAUCGGCUAACUCCGUGCCAGCAGCCGCGGUAAUACGGAGGAUCCGAGCGUUAUCCGGAUUUAUUGGGUGUAAAGGGAGCGUAGAUGGGUUGUUAAGUCAGUUGUGAAAGGUUGCGGCUCAACCGUAAAAUUGCAAUUGAUACUGGCAGCCUGGAGUAUAGGUGAGGUAGGCGGAAUUCGUGGUGUAGCGGUGAAAUGCUUAGAUAUCACGAAGAACUCCGAUUGCGAAGGCAGCCUACUAAACUGCAACUGACAUUGAUGCGCGAAAGUGUGGGUAUCAAACAGGAUUAGAUACCCUAGUAGUC